rnacentral:lncRNA from 1 species
GGGAGGAGUAAGCUGACUUUUUGAAAGGGGAGCGUUGGAGACCGGAUCCUGGGCGGAGUUUACAAAUGGACACACAAAUGGAUUUGGAUAUAUGACACCAAGAUCAAAUUGAACAUGGCCAAGUAACUGACCUAUAAGGAACAUGUGCUGGAAAGAACAUGAGCUAAAAACUACUGUCUGUGAUAGAAAUUACAGGAUCAAUGAUUCUCUCAAGACUUAUGUGUAGUCCUCAAAGCCAUCCGCAAGUUGUAGAAGAUACCUAAGCUGUUUGCUUGGCUGCUUCCCACUUCCUGGCAAAGUACUCCUUCUGGAAUUUGUCUCUCUCCAAGCUGAGAGGGGAGAUACAGCUAGCAGAAGUAUACUCACCUCAUCGCCACCUAGUGAGAAGAACGGUGUCGAAACGUAUCGAAGGUGUUGGAGGAAGUUGAGAAGAUGUGACCUCUGGCUGACCUGCUGGCUGGACUGGCAAGUCGAGGCCCUUCACCCUCUCGCUUGUCCUUGAAAUGUAUCCUCUGCCCACAAUGGGAGCCAUGUUCAAGGUCACAGCCUUGAGAGAGUAAGGUGCUGGGACCAUCUGGACUGAAUAUGUGACUCAAUUCAGGGCAUACCUGCGGCAUUUGAAAGUUCCCAGGCUAGUGGUUGAAUCAGAGCUGCAGCUGCCAGCGUACACCACAGCCACAGCAAUGCUGGAUCCAAGCCGCGUCUGCAACCUACACCACAGCUCAAGGCAAUGUCGGAUCCUUACCCUACUGAGUGAGACCAAGGAUCAAACCUGCAUCCUCAUGGAUACAAGUCGGGCUCAUUACCCCUGAGCCACAGCAGAAACUCCCAGGCAAGUGAUUCUUGAUACAGGUUUUUCAAGUGGGAAAUGUCAAUUUAUGCAUAGACUUGUAAUUAUUCUGUCUGACCACAUUCCAUUCCUUUUGCAAGGUAAAACAUCAUAAUUGAUGGAGAAAACUCAGAUCACAGUACAAGGCUUAUGGAGACUACAGAUACAGAGGCUAAGCUGGGUGGACAUAAGCAGGAAAGGACAUCUUAGACCUACAAUUGUUGACCUCUCUUUAUCAAGGUGGACACAACUUGUUCCGGCAUUUCUGAUCAUCAAGAGGCACUUUGUCAUCAAAGGGUGCUCUUCUUCCAAGAUGCUGUAACAAUUUUGAGUAUGAUCUU